CUAGUAUAAGCAAUCUAUACGGUGAACUGCGAAUGGCUCAUUAAAUCAGUUAUCGUUUAUUUGAUAGUACCUUACUACUUGGAUAACCGUGGUAAUUCUAGAGCUAAUACAUGCUAAAAACCCCGACUUCGGAAGGGGUGUAUUUAUUAGAUAAAAAACCAAUGCCCUUCGGGGCUCCUUGGUGAUUCAUAAUAACUUAACGAAUCGCAUGGCCUUGUGCCGGCGAUGGUUCAUUCAAAUUUCUGCCCUAUCAACUUUCGAUGGUAGGAUAGUGGCCUACCAUGGUUUCAACGGGUAACGGGGAAUUAGGGUUCUAUUCCGGAGAGGGAGCCUGAGAAACGGCUACCACAUCCAAGGAAGGCAGCAGGCGCGCAAAUUACCCAAUCCCGACACGGGGAGGUAGUGACAAUAAAUACUGAUACAGGGCUCUUUUGGGUCUUGUAAUUGGAAUGAGUACAAUUUAAAUCCCUUAACGAGGAACAAUUGGAGGGCAAGUCUGGUGCCAGCAGCCGCGGUAAUUCCAGCUCCAAUAGCGUAUAUUAAAGUUGUUGCAGUUAAAAAGCUCGUAGUUGAACCUUGGGCCUGGCUGGCCGGUCCGCCUCACCGCGUGCACUGGUCCGGCCGGGUCUUUCCUUCUGGGGAGCCGCAUGCCCUUCACUGGGUGUGUCGGGGAACCAGGACUUUUACUUUGAAAAAAUUAGAGUGUUCAAAGCAGGCCUAUGCUCGAAUACAUUAGCAUGGAAUAAUAGAAUAGGACGUGUGGUUCUAUUUUGUUGGUUUCUAGGACCGCCGUAAUGAUUAAUAGGGAUAGUCGGGGGCAUCAGUAUUCAAUUGUCAGAGGUGAAAUUCUUGGAUUUAUUGAAGACUAACUACUGCGAAAGCAUUUGCCAAGGAUGUUUUCAUUAAUCAGUGAACGAAAGUUAGGGGAUCGAAGACGAUCAGAUACCGUCGUAGUCUUAACCAUAAACUAUGCCGACUAGGGA
rnacentral:rRNA from 1 species